rnacentral:rRNA from 1 species
AUUGAACGCUGGCGGCAGGCCUAACACAUGCAAGUCGAGCGGAUGAAGGGAGCUUGCUCCUGGAUUCAGCGGCGGACGGGUGAGUAAUGCCUAGGAAUCUGCCUGGUAGUGGGGGAUAACGUCCGGAAACGGGCGCUAAUACCGCAUACGGCCUGAGGGAGAAAGUGGGGGAUCUUCGGACCUCACGCUAUCAGAUGAGCCUAGGUCGGAUUAGCUAGUUGGUGGGGUAAAGGCCUACCAAGGCGACGAUCCGUAACUGGUCUGAGAGGAUGAUCAGUCACCCUGGAACUGAGACACGGUCCAGACUCCUACGGGAGGCAGCAGUGGGGAAUAUUGGACAAUGGGCGAAAGCCUGAUCCAGCCAUGCCGCGUGUGUGCAGAAGGUCUUCGGAUUGUAAAGCACUUUAAGUUGGGAGGAAGGGCAGUAAGUUAAUACCUUGCUGUUUUGACGUUACCAACAGAAUAAGCACCGGCUAACUUCGUG